CGAGCGUUUGCACUCAUAUGUAGAUGAUGGCAACGGAUAAGUAACACGUGGAUACCUACCAUCAAAGGGGGAUAACACUUGGAAACAGGUGUUAAUACCGCAUAACAGUUUUUCCGCAUGGCAUUAGAGUGAAAGGCGCUUUGGGUGUCGCUGAUGGAUGGACCCGCGGUGCAUUAGCUAGUUGGUGAGGUAACGGCUCACCAAGGCCACGAUGCAUAGCCGACCUUAGAGGGUGAUCGGCCACACUGCGACUGAGACACGGCCCAGACUCCUACGGGAGGCAGCAGUAGGGAAUCUUCGCCAAUGGACGAAAGUCUGACCGAGCAACGCCGCGUGAGUGAAGAAGGUUUUCGGAUCGUAAAACUCUGUUGUUAGAGAAGAACAAGGACGUUAGUAACUGAACGUCCCCUGACGGUAUCUAACCAGAAAGCCACGGCUAACUACGUGCCAGCAGCCGCGGUAAUACGUAGGUGGCAAGCGUUGUCCGGAUUUAUUGGGCGUAAAGCGAGCGCAGGCGGUUUCUUAAGUCUGAUGUGAAAGCCCCCGGCUCAACCGGGGAGGGUCAUUGGGAACUGGGAGACUUGAGUGCAGAAGAGGAGAGUGGAAUUCCAUGUGUAGCGGUGAAAUGCGUAGAUAUAUGGAGGAACACCAGUGGCGAAGGCGGCUCUCUGGUCUGCAACUGACGCUGAGGCUCGAAAGCAUGGGUAGCGAACAGG
rnacentral:rRNA from 1 species